UCUCAUACCAGCCGCAUGCCCUCACUCCCACCCAGACCAUCAUAUAAUAGUUCUCAUCUUUUCCCCCCUCAGUUUUCUCUCCCACCUAACCCACGAUGGCGAAGUUGUGAUGCUCAUAGCAAAGAUAUGUGAUGCAGAUGCACCCUGCGAAGAAGAUGCUCAUGCCAUGAAGAUGUGAUGCUGACGGCGACUUCUUCCCGACGCCAACCGACGUUGUCUCCCCUGUUCUCUUCCACUCAUUCCCUUCUUGAGUGAGAAUGGUGGAUUUCCAAUUCAAACUCACCAGCUGAGCUUUACCCACUCCAGAUCUAUAAGCUUUAGCCGCGAUACUAGCUUUAAUUGCUCAGAAUGGAAAAUUGUUGCCUACCUUUUCUUCAAAAUUUCUAACCUACUUCUCCACUCAGAUCUGUUUUUUCUCUCGCUCUCUCUCAAAUCGUAAAUUGUAACUGUGGUGAUUCUACAACUCUGAUGGCUUCUUGCUCGGGGUAUUGUUUCUGAAAGAUGAGUACUGACGCAGAUCACGGCAGCCUUGACACAGAAGGUGAUUCCAAAAUUAUACAUUGAGAUAUGAAGGUUGAUAAUGUAGUUGUUAACAAUGAAUUUGAACCAAAGGUAUUUAGGAUAGUGAUAACAACAAAGAAAAAGGCAUUAAAAUUUUUAAUUAAAUGUCAAAAAUUUUUUUUAAAGAUAUUGAGAAAUUUGUACACAUGAAUUUGUUCAUUUCAUAUUUGUAUGAAAGUUUGCUUUUUUAUUUUUGACUGUCUUUAAUAUUAAAUUUUGUGACAAAAUAAAUUCCAUAAUCUAUUUAUAUAAUUUUUGUUUGGAUUGCAGAUGUUCACUUGUUAGGUUUUUCCUUAUUAGUAAUAAUGUUAUUCAAACCUCCAGUAAGGUGAUGAGCCUAAUAACGUGUAACUUGUAACUUUUUUUUCUUGUUAAUUGUGUGAUCUAGUAUAAUUACAUUGCUGUCAAUUAUGUAUAGUUUUUGAAUAGUUAAAAUAUAUAAAAAUAUAAUAUCAACAAAGUGAAUACUAAUUUUUUUGGGCUUCUCUUGCAAAGAAUUUCAUUCUAUAAAAAAAUUCCUAACUGAUUUUUCAUUAUAGUUAUGCUUAUUCAGAAUAUUAUCUUUUCCGAAAAGUUUCUGAGAAAUCACGUGUUUAUUCUUAUGGUGUUGUGCUUUUAGAGAAAAAUACUAAGAGAAUGUCUUCGGAUAAAUCUUUUACAUGUUAGUAAAUAGGUAAUUGAUUUUUUUUGAAAAUUUAAUUUGAUAAAUAAAAUAUAUAUAUAUAUAUAUAUUUAUUUAUUUAAUGAAGAUAAACCAGUAAAAAAAAUAUGUGAGUGAAUUUAUGUAAUUUCUAUAAUGAACAUAUGUUGUUUUGAAAAUUGGACUUUUAAUUUAUUUUAGAAGAUAGUUUUUAAUAUUAGAAUUCAUGUUCAAAAAUGUGAAUGUACUUAUAAUUAUUAAUAUAUUAGAAAAUAGAAAAGUUUUAUUAAAUAACGAAUACUUCAUUUUAUAUGUUUAGGCAAGAAAUCAAAUUGAACUAGUUUUGAAAAAUGAAGAAUAUAUGUCUCUUCUUGAUUUCAAAUUAAGAAGUUAUGAUAUAGGGUAAAGGAAAUACAUUAUUUCAUGUGUUAUAAUUAUCGUAUAUAAAUUUUUAAUGUUUUGUAUAUCUUUCUAUGUAUAUAUGACAAUGAAAGAUUACAUAAUUGAUGUAAUCAUUUUACGGUUAUUAUAUUAUGCUAUGCAGAUAAUUGAAGUUCUUGAAGAAAUUAUGCCUGCAGAGAGCAAAUAUGAGAUUAAAAAGACAAUAAAUUGUUACAUAAUGUUAUAUAUAAUAUUACAUUUUUUUAUGAAAAUUAUGACGUAUAUAGAAAAGGUAAAUCAUAAUUUUCUUAAAAAAUAAAUAUUAUAUAUGGUAUUGUGUAAGAAUUUAUCUUUUCCGAUCUCAUAUUUGCUCUGUAGGUAUAUUUCUUUCAAAAAUUCCAAUUAUAUGUAUCCUAUAAUAUAAUAAUGGUAAAAAAGUUAUGCCAAAUUUUAAUCUUUCAUUGGGACAUAUAGAUAGAUAUGUUAAGAUUUUCCAUCUUUCUUUGGUGGUUGAAACUAUGAAAGUUUAUACAUGGAAAUUAUAGUACAAGAAAUCAUGUAUUUCAUAAUUUCUUAAUUUGGAAUCAACAAGAGCCGUAUAUUAUUAAUUACUCAAAACUAGUUUAAUUGGAUUUAUUUACUAAAUAUUGAUAAAAAAGUAUUUAUUAGUUAAUCAAGUUUUAAUUUUUUCAAUAUUGUAAUGUUAACUUUAUUUAUAUAUUUGUAAAUGUAUUUUAAUAAUAAGAACUAUUUACAAAUUAAUAGGCCAAGAGUACUUAUAGAACUCUAUGUUGGAAUUAUAAGAACUAUAUUAGUUUACUCACAUAUUUUUUAUUAUUGGUUUUCAAUUAAAUAAAAAAUAUAUUUUGUUUACCAAUUUAAAUUUUCAAAAAAAGUCAAUAAUUUAUUUGCUUAUAUAUAAAAUAUUUUAAUUGCAUUGGUGUAGUAUGUUGUCAAUAAUUGUCAUACCAUUCAAUGAUGUUAAAAUCUUUAUCGUCACAAGACAUUCUCUCAAAUAUUUAUCUCUAAAAGCACAACACCAUAAGAAUAGACAUCUGAUUUUUUAGAGAUUAUUUGGAAAUGAUAAUGUUUUGUAUCUGCAUAACUAUAAUAAAAUAUUCGGUUAAGAAUUUUUUUCUAAAAUGAAGUUUUUUGUUGGAAAUGUCUAAAAAAAUUGGCAUUCUUUGUUGUUAUUUUAUUUUAUAUAUUUUAAUUAUUCGAAAGUUAUAUUAAUUGAUAGCAAUAUAAUUAUUCUUACUCACUUAAUUAACAAAAAAAAAAUUAUGACUUACAGUUAGUUCAACUCAUCACCUUACUAGAGAUGUGAUUAACAUUAUCACUAAUUAGGAAAAAACUGGUAAGUGAAAAAUCUGCAAUCUAAAUAAAAGUUAUCUAAGUAAAUUAGGGUGCUUAUUUUAGCACACAAUUUGAUAACAAAGACAAUCAAAUAUAACAAAAUAAACUUACAUCCAAACAUGAAAAUUAAUGAGUUCACAUGCACAAUUUUCUCAAUAUUUUUUAGAAAGAAAUUUUCGGCAUUUAAUUUAGGAUUUAAAAUGCCAAAGAAGAAGAAAGGCACAAUAAGCUUAAUCACAUCCCGAUGCUCCAGCUUCAUCAAAGGCCUCUGCUCUGCACUCUCCAGGUAAUUUUUUUUCUGGCUUAUUUUCUACUUAUUUCAUCCCACCUCAGGCUAGCCUUUUUGUUUUUUUUCU